rnacentral:rRNA from 1 species
GAUGAACGCUGGCGGCGUGCUUAAUACAUGCAAGUCGAGCGAACAAAGGGGAGCUUGCUCCCCUUGACGUUAGGGGCGGAGGGGUGGGUAACACGUGGAAACCCUCCCUAUAAGACGGGGAUACCUUCGGAAAACCGGAUCUAAUACGGGACAAUCUAUGAAACCGCCUGCUUCAAUAGGAAAGAACGUUUUUGCUGUCACUUAUCGAUGAAUCCCCGCGGAAUUGGCAAGUUGGGAAGGUAACGGGUUACCAAGGCAACGAUGCGUAGCCGACCGGAGAGGGUGAUCGGCCACACUGGAACUGAGACACGGUCCAGACUCCUACGGGAGGCAGCAGUAGGGAAUCUUCCGCAAUGGGCGAAAGCCUGACGGAGCAACGCCGCGUGAGUGAUGAAGGUCUUCGGAUCGUAAAACUCUGUUAUUAGGGAAGAACAAAUGUGUAAGUAACUAUGCACGUCUUGACGGUACCUAAUCAGAAAGCCACGGCUAACUACGUG